AAGGUGACGGUGGCGCCAUCCGGAUUUUCAAUAAAGAAUGUGUCGGCGCGGAGCCGUCGUUGGACCCACUCUCCCAAUCUAGUACAUUCUACAAACUGGGAUACAUAGCGCAAGAAUGACACAAGGACGAAGCAGGAACACGGGAUGAGUGCUAACUUUCAGCAAUUGAUUUAUUGCAGCUAAUGAGCAUAUAUAUACUCACUGGGACGCCACUGCAACAGACACACUGAAGGGAAGGAGAAAAAGCAGUCAUGUGACUGCAUGUGACUGAGCAGCGUUCUACUUCAGCGGCGACUGCGUAUCGCGCGGCCGAGCGUGGCUGCACUCUGGCCCCAUAUUGAAAGCAAUCUGCAGUGGGUAGAGUCUAGGCGCGCUGAGGGCUGAUGACUUUGUGUGCGCUGUGUUCUCGCCACUUAGUUCGCGUUGAAACGAGAGGAAGCACGAAGGGCGAUUUGCUCACUGCUGCUGUCACUCUUCCUUACGCCAACGUUUUGAUAGCGAGUGUCCGCGGUCAUCCAGUGACGUAUGGUGAGAAGUACAAAGGAGGAACAAGAACUUAUCAAAGAAGUACAAGCACUUUAUCAGCAAGAAACAGGCAAGCAAUGAAGAUGGGCGUUUAGUUGGAUAAUGAGGGCCCCAAAUGAAUACAACGAAAGCAAUAUUGUGAAGUCUGAGCAUGAACAGAUAUGCCACAAGUGCAUUAAAAAAGACAGUUAAGCACAACGCUCAGACGCGCUACCACACGUCAUCCUCAUGGCACAUGUUCAGUGUGUUGUAUGUGUUGUAUACUUAGUUCUAGUUUCUGUUUAAACUCUAUCACGCCUUCGUAAUCAUGUGUAGAUACGUCAUAUUUUGAAAUAAUAAAAAGAAUGAAUGCUGCCAAGUUUGGGUAGGCAAAAUCGGAGAAGGUGUUGCGGUUGUCAACUGAUGCACACACAAGUGUGCUGUUCAUGAAGCUACCUCGGACGUGGCUGUGCACUAGAGAACUGUGCCUGCAUACAGUAGCUAGAUAGCUGUCAUUACCAUGUGCAAUCACUCAGUGAGCAUCAGAGCUGCUAUUGAUUUGUUUUAGUCAAUGAGCCAUCAGAAAUUGUCCUCACCGAGGCUGAGCUGGUCAGACCAAGACGAAUGACAAACCAAGUUGUCAAUCAUCUUCCAUAAGUUACAAUGUAUUCAAUACUACGAAGAACUGCCUCUGUAAAGCUGCAUAGUAUACAGUUAGAGUUACCAGCACCCAAAUAUGUCUGUUGGUUCAAGACCACACAGGAAAACGAGUGCAAUGCACAAAACAAAUAAACAGUGAAAGCCUUUGCUUUUUGAUGUAGCACGCCAUCACAACAGUGUGUUUUAGAAAUAGAUGAGAGUACUCUAAAAAAAAGAGAACCCAAGAAACAGCAUCUAUGUGGCACUGUGCAUGCUCGGAACAUAAACUACAGUGAUAAUUAGCACAGAGUGAAUUUGGGUUCACCAAUGUCUGAAGGAGCACAUGUAAUACUUCUGGUGAAAAAAACAUGGGUGCAUCAGUGCGACACAUCUCAGUAAUGAGCACAAUAGGGUUCUACUAAUUUAACCUAGCUUGCUUUUGUCCAGUAUUAUAAAUGGCUCUCUUCAUUUGCAAAUAAUUACUGAGCCUUUUGCUUUUUCAGGAGAGACUACAGAUGCAACUUUCCAAGAGCACGACAUUCCACAAAAUUGAGAAAAUAUGGCAUAAUGAUGUCAGACUGACAAAAUUGUUUUUUGAAAACUUUAAUAGAGGUCUAAAAAUCCAGCAAUACAAAUUCAAGACCAACGAAAAGAGCUAGGUUUCAUGUGUUGAGUGUGGAGUACCUUUAAUGCCCAUGCUGAUUUUGCUGUGUACCAAGAGUAUACAUUAAAUUUAAGAAUCUGUAAAUUCUUUAGCCUCCCUAAAAAAGUAUAUUGAAUAAACACACAUACAAUUGUAUAGCAGGUUCACACUCAAUGACAGCAAUACUGCAAAUAUGACUCCUAGACAACAGUGCCGCAAACUUAUGUUGACUUAUAAGUGCUCUGCGCAAGCAGAACUAAGUUCAGUUUGAGCAAUACCAUGGAAGUAAUACGCACAAUAAUUUUCACAAUGCAAGACCAUGGUGCCAGCAUCGAAAAUGGAAAAGAUAUAGAGCUGCACGUCAAACCGUGUACACCCAAUAACAUUUCACUAAUGAUCACAUGCCAGACAUUCAAAUAACAGAGCAAGUGCAAGCAAGGAUUGCUAACAUCAUCAACUAGCACAGUAUUCAAGUGCUGCAACCAUGCAAGAACAUCCACAGCUGAGGGAGAAUACUGAAUGUUCAGAUACUAUGUAUCUAAUAUAGUCCAUAGUCCAUGACUUCAUUUCUAAAUUUCAUUCAGUAAAACGUGACAAUUCUGUACAUAAAUGCUG